CUGAGUUACGGUGAGCUAGAGACGCCAUGCUAACCACUAAGCUAACCCUACAUCUGAAAGCAUGUCCGCCACUCUUUGGGAUAGCGAGAAAGUUGCUAAAAUACGAAUACAGCAUCGAGUGCUGGAGCAGAUCUAGUGCAUGUGUAAAUAUGUAUGAAUUACUUAGAUGUAACAGUUUGUUCUCGUUAAGUUUUUUCAUCAACGUGACUUUUUUCUGUAUGUUUUCACAGCCUCAGCCCCCCCCCCCUCCACACACACACACACACACACAAACAAAGAGGCGUUAGGCUGAGACGCUGAAAGUCCGGAUUUAAAGUGCAGAAAAUUAAGCCAUUGAAUCUGCCUGUCCAUGACGUACAAAGACACACUAUGAGCCAGUAUGAUCCGACCAGACCUUACAUCAGCAUUGAGGAGUUGUCGGAGAAGAAAGAGGCUGAUUGAAGCGGGACAGAUGACAUGGAUCCAUCCUUCCACAGCCAGGAGCGCACCGACCUGUGUCCCACACUUCAUAUAAGACUGGAAGCUACACUGAUCUCACAGCUACACACCACAGACGUCUACACACUGGAGAAGAGUCCCACAAAGAAGUCAUGACCCAGAGGCUGCAGAGAAACAUUUCAAGCCUCAUCUGAGUUUUUGUACAAUAUUUUUGCUGUAUGUAAAUAAAGCUUUCACUCCACAUA